CUUAUGGUUAUUUUAUAUAUAUAAAUUUUUUUUUUCAAAAACUUAUAAAUGACUUAUAUAAAUAUAUAUAGAUAUUUUUUCUUUUUUUGUUUAAUUAUCUCCAGAGAUUUUAUUUAGCAGAAUUUAAUUAUUUACGUACUCCGGUUUUCGAUGUCGCGAAUAAAAGUACCAAUUCAAACUGAAGAACUUUUACCACGCGGGUGAAAUGUUGAGGAGUUUAAUUAUCACUUAAGAGAGCGUUUUACGGGUGAAAAAGCGGUACAAAACUUAUGACUGAAAUUUCCAUGAUAUUUCCAUUUAAGUCGGCAUUAAAACAAAAUCAUUUGUUAUAAAAUUAAAGAGAACAACUGGAUAAAUUCAACAGCAUAACAAAAGAAAAUCUCGUUACAAGAAAUAUUUGAUAACGGAAUUUCUAUGAAUAUUUAGGGUAAAUAUACUAAAAAGUACUUCUUACAUUCACUAAUCAAGUUAAUACUGACGAACAAUUUUCAAACCUAAUUUUGAAUUGGCUGUAAAUCGAGUGACGUCAACGAUGAUUGUGUACAUCAAUCAAGUUAAAUUAAGAACUAAAUAAUACUUAAACAUAAAAAAAGAAGUGUAAAAAUUAAGUAUGUUAUGGGUAUAGACCAUAUCUUCAGCGAUUUUAACGAACGCGUUUCCAAUCCAGUAAUUGUACAAUGCAUUUCCAGAAUGAUGAGCUAAUUUGAAUUUUCCAAGGCCUUUUUCUCAAUUUCAAAGGAUGAAAUCAAAUUAAUUAGAAAUUAGGAAGCAAGAACUAGAGUUUAUACGACGCUUGAGAAUGGUUAACCCAAUUUCUUAUUCAGCACUCUGUCAUAGAAUUUUGUUUGACUAAAUCUCAGUACUAACUAAUGCUGUCUAAUGGUAAUGCUUGUAUGAAGCUUUAUAACAUAGGAAGGAAAAGGAUUAUACUGUUAUACAACGGAAGAACAUGAUAAAUUCACGUUCAUUGAUUAGAGACUGCCGACGAUAUCUAAAAGCAGCUUAGAAUCGCGUCAUUUGGAGUAACUACCGAAAACCAAGUAGAAAAAUGAUAAUAAAACUGAUCUAAAAAUCUAUUUGUCAGAUUGCGCCUAAUAGAGAAAAAAAUAGUCAAAUAUGUUGUGAUCGGUACUUCAGAGCAGCAGCGAAAUGUUUACCUUUUCCAAAAAAGAAACAGACAUUAUUUGUGAAAAACGAAGAAAAUAAAUUUCUUUAGCAGUGCACAUAGUUGACAAAACAAUUAAUACGGUUCAUAGGCUAUUGUUCAGAACAUUGUUAGUUUAAGUAAAGGGACGUUAAAUUGUAACAUUGUUGAUGAAAAUGGGAAAUUAAUAAAGGGUAUGAAAAUUAUACCUGAUAAAUAUUAAAAUUAGAGCGAGGGGGCUGACUACAUAUAAGAAAUAUAUGGCAAAAGUACAAAAAUUGGAAGCAAUUUUCUUAAAUUAUCACACUUAUGACGAGAAACACAAAUAUUGACGCAAAUAUUAUCAAUACGAAUGAUGGCAAGACUGAACUGGAAUAUAUUUUAGGGAGGGUACUACUGGAUGCUAUUACCAGGAAAUUUUUUUAGGAUAGCACUAAUAUAAAUGUAAAUUAUUGAGUUAAUUUUGCUCAUUCUAAUUUUAAAAAAAGUAGAGAAAAAUAUUUUUAAUGGACAAAAAAAAUAGCCAUUGGGUUUGCCGAAAUUGAGAACCCUGGAAGGCAUAAUUCUUAAAUGCGGUCCUGUAUAGACUGAACGGUGACUGACGACAUACGGACACGACCGCAUGUCUUACGCGUAUGUUAAAGGGGAUGUGAGGAUAAAAGGUGUUAAAGACAACCAUUUUCUACCCAACACUACUCACGAGUAAAAAAUAUGAAAGUAUCAUACAAUUUCCAGCUAGUAAAUCUUCUACUUGCAUAAGCUGAAUAAUACGGUUUCAUUAUCAAAAAUGAGGUACAUGUCUAUGCGAAUGUAAUAAGUACACAUUGCAUUUGAAUCACGGCAACCGCAAUACAUUAUAUAUCUUUUGUGCUUUUCUUCGUAAUGCAAGUGACCUGAUUAGACCAAUGUUCACAUUUGGUACGAUUGAAUUAUUUUAAUAUCACAAAAGUAUAUUUUGUUUGUAGAAAUCCUAAACGAUAUGUACCAAUCAUAAGAAUAUUUGAUAUUUUUCGGUCAUAACGUAUGCAAAAAAAAUACUCAUAUAAGUGAAGUAAGUAUAAGACUUAUAAGUCAAAUAUUAAAAAAUUACUUUUCAAGUAGAAAGUACAUCAAUAAAUUUUAAGUGCCAAACUUUAUUAUAUACGGAGUCUUGGUAAUGUUGAUUAUUUUGUGUUUACUGAAGCAUGAUUAAAUAUGGAUACCUUUUAUCUUACUUUAAACU